rnacentral:sRNA from 1 species
GUCAGCACAAACCGGAACCUCCCCCAACUUGCUCGACACGAGGGGUGCUGAUGUCGGGGGAAACCCUCCUGUGAACCAGCGGGAUAGAGAGAAAGACAAAGACCGGGAAUAAACUAAAGCGCCCUCCUGUGGCGCUUUAGUUUU